GGAGAGGUGGCUCAGUGGUUAAGAGCACAGACUGCUCUUCCAGAGGUCCUGAGUUCAAAUCCCAGCAACUCCA
rfam:Rattus norvegicus chromosome 1, whole genome shotgun sequence.